CGGAGAUUUCGAGGCUUUUUCCGGCGAAUCCACGGCGAGUUAGGGGUCAAGGCAGAAAUUCCGGCAAAACACCCACCUCCGGCGAAACCAGUCCGGCGACGCGAGGAAGAAGACGCGCGCGUGGGCAGCGCGUAGAUUGGGCGAGUGAGGGCGCGUGGGACCUCCAAAUUGAGUUCUGAAAAUUGUCACGCGUUCGUGACGUCGUGUAGAUCACCGUGGUAUAUUCACGCACCCAAAUUGAGCAACGUAUGAGAAAGUUAUUGACGAAUGUUUGGUGUAUGCGCGUUAAAUAACGAUAAUUUGGUUACUUUUUGUAUAGGUGAAAAUUAUACAGAAGAAGAAUGUAACCAAUCUAGGGGAGGCUCAGGGACCCACGAGACGUCGAU